CCUACGGGUGGCAGCAGUGGGGAAUAUUGGACAAUGGGCGAAAGCCUGAUCCAGCAAUGCCGCGUGAGUGAUGAAGGCCUUAGGGCUGUAAAGCUCUUUUACCCGGGAUGAUAAUGACAGUACCGGGAGAAUAAGCUCCGGCUAACUCCGUGCCAGCAGCCGCGGUAAUACGGAGGGAGCUAGCGUUAUUCGGAAUUACUGGGCGUAAAGCGCACGUAGGCGGCUUUGUAAGUUAGAGGUAAAAGCCUGGAGUACAACUCCAGAAUUGCCUUUAGGACUGCAUCGUUUGAAUCCAGGAGAGGUGAGUGAAAUUCCGAGUGUAGAGGUGAAAUUCGUAGAUAUUCGGAAGAACACCAGUGGCGAAGGCGGCUCACGGGACUG
rnacentral:rRNA from 1 species